CAACACGGAGCUGAAAAGAUGUAGGAUGUGCCACACAGUUAGACUGAUACCCAACCUGCUGCCCGGGUGAAAUCCCUGUAGCUCUUGUAUUCUCAGUCCCCUUGGGAAAACUUCACGCAUGAGGCACACGUAGGGCCUGUGCAAAAGCUCAAACCCCCAGGAAUGGAUUAGGAUAGGAGCCUUGCUGGACCACCAUCUGCCAAAACACACUUCAGAAAGGUGGUGGGGCUUAGAGGGGUUUUCCCCUGGAGAAAAUGGAAAAUAGUCUUGUGCAGGGCUGUGCAUCAAUGCUUGUUUUUGCUUCCAUGGUGGGAUUUCAUUAAAUGCAUUGCAUUUCUUCAUCUCUCUGUUUCCUUUAAGGAAGUGCUCUAAAAGGAACCAUCGGCACUGGGACUGACCAAAACUGGGGUGUGAAACUAAAGCCUGGACAACUUAAGAGAGACAGCGUGGACAGUGCAGCAGGAGAUGGACUCUGGUGGCUCUGCAGUCUCUACUUUUCCAAAGGAAAAGUGUCUGACAGGAGGAAACAUCUGGGGUAAGGAGCCACUUAGCAUGCUUGGGAUCCCACCACGCUUUGGUCCUUUUUCCUGGCAGGCUGCCGCCCUCCUCCUGCCCUUGGUGCACCCACAGGCCUUUAAAUUUCACGAAAGCUCUUUGGUUCUG